AGGGUAUUAUCUUAAAGGUAAAGAGUAGUAUUACGGCUGCUGAGUUAUGAGUUCAAGUCUCAUAUACCCUU